rnacentral:rRNA from 1 species
CAGGCCUAACACACUGCAAGUCGAGGGGUAGAAGGAGCUUGCUCCUUUGAGACCGGCGCACGGGUGCGUAACGCGUAUGCAAUCUGCCUUUUACAGGGGAAUAGCCCAGAGAAAUUUGGAUUAAUGCCCCAUAGCAUAUGGGAACCGCAUGGUUCUUAUAUUAAAGUCACAACGGUAAAAGAUGAGCAUGCGUCCCAUUAGCUAGUUGGUAAGGUAACGGCUUACCAAGGCGAUGAUGGGUAGGGGUCCUGAGAGGGAGAUCCCCCACACUGGUACUGAGACACGGACCAGACUCCUACGGGAGGCAGCAGUGAGGAAUAUUGGACAAUGGGCGCAAGCCUGAUCCAGCCAUGCCGCGUGCAGGAUGACGGUCCUAUGGAUUGUAAACUGCUUUUAUACGGGAAGAAACCCUCGGACGUGUCCGAGAUUGACGGUACCGUAGGAAUAAGGAUCGGCUAAAGCCGUGNCAGCAGCCGCGGUAAU